rnacentral:rRNA from 1 species
AAUGGGUCAGCGACUUAUAUUCUGUAGCAAGGUUAACCGAAUAGGGGAGCCGAAGGGAAACCGAGUCUUAACUGGGCGUUAAGUUGCAGGGUAUAGACCCGAAACCCGGUGAUCUAGCCAUGGGCAGGUUGAAGGUUGGGUAACACUAACUGGAGGACCGAACCGACUAAUGUUGAAAAAUUAGCGGAUGACUUGUGGCUGGGGGUGAAAGGCCAAUCAAACCGGGAGAUAGCUGGUUCUCCCCGAAAGCUAUUUAGGUAGCGCCUCGUGAAUUCAUCUCCGGGGGUAGAGCACUGUUUCGGCAAGGGGGUCAUCCCGACUUACCAACCCGAUGCAAACUGCGAAUACCGGAGAAUGUUAUCACGGGAGACACACGGCGGGUGCUAACGUCCGUCGUGAAGAGGGAAACAACCCAGACCGCCAGCUAAGGUCCCAAAGUCAUGGUUAAGUGGGAAACGAUGUGGGAAGGCCCAGACAGCCAGGAUGUUGGCUUAGAAGCAGCCAUCAUUUAAAGAAAGCGUAAUAGCUCACUGGUCGAGUCGGCCUGCGCGGAAGAUGUAACGGGGCUAAACCAUGCACCGAAGCUGCGGCAGCGACACUAUGUGUUGUUGGGUAGGGGAGCGUUCUGUAAGCCUGUGAAGGUGGCCUGUGAGGGUUGCUGGAGGUAUC